UACGGGGGGGGCAAGCGUUGUUCGGAAUUACUGGGCGUAAAGGGUUUGUAGGUGGCCUGCUAAGUCAGACGUGAAAUCCCUCAGCUUAACUGGGGAACUGCGUCUGAGACUGGUGGGCUCGAGGACAGGAGAGGAACGCGGAAUUCCAGGUGUAGCGGUGAAAUGCGUAGAUAUCGAGAGGAACACCUGCGGCGAAGGCGGGUUGCUGGACUGAUACUGACGCUGAUGCGCGAAAGCCAGGGGAGCGAACGGG
rnacentral:rRNA from 1 species